rnacentral:tRNA from 1 species
GCCUCUUUGGCACAGUGGUAAUGCGUCUCACUCGUAACUGAUUUGACGCCAUGAGAAGAUCCACGGUUCGAUUCCGUGAAGAGGCA